CCUACGGGAGGCAGCAGUGGGGAAUAUUGCGCAAUGGGCGAAAGCCUGACGCAGCGACGCCGCGUGAGGGAUGAAGGUCUUCGGAUCGUAAACCUCUGUCAGCAGGGAAGAACGGUCACUGUGCUAAUCAGCAGUGAAUUGACGUUACCUGCAAAGGAAGCACCGGCUAACUCCGUGCCAGCAGCCGCGGUAAUACGGAGGGUGCGAGCGUUAAUCGGAAUUACUGGGCGUAAAGCGCUCGUAGGCGGUAUGUCAAGUCAAGGGUGAAAUCCCCGCGCUCAACGUGGGAACUGCCUUUGAAACUGGCAGACUGGAGUGUGUGAGAGGAUAGUGGAAUUCCAGGUGUAGGAGUGAAAUCCGGAGAGAUCUGGAGGAACAUCAGUGGCGAAGGCGACUAUCUGGCACAUAACUGACGCUGAGGAGCGAAAGCGUGGGUAGCAAACAGGAUUAGAUACCCUUGUAGUC
rnacentral:rRNA from 1 species